rnacentral:rRNA from 1 species
GACGAACGCUGGCGGCGUGCUUAACACAUGCAAGUCGAACGGAGAGGCCCUGCUUUUGUGGGGUGCUCGAGUGGCGAACGGGUGAGUAACACGUGAGUAACCUGCCCUUGACUUUGGGAUAACUUCAGGAAACUGGGGCUAAUACCGGAUAGGAGCUCCUGCUGCAUGGUGGGGGUUGGAAAGUUUCGGUGGUUGGGGAUGGACUCGCGGCUUAUCAGCUUGUUGGUGGGGUAGUGGCUUACCAAGGCUUUGACGGGUAGCCGGCCUGAGAGGGUGACCGGCCACAUUGGGACUGAGAUACGGCCCAGACUCCUACGGGAGGCAGCAGUGGGGAAUAUUGCACAAUGGGCGGAAGCCUGAUGCAGCAACGCCGCGUGCGGGAUGACGGCCUUCGGGUUGUAAACCGCUUUCGCCUGUGACGAAGCGUGAGUGACGGUAAUGGGUAAAGAAGCACCGGCUAACUACGUG